GGAUUCAGGGGGUUUUUAGGGGGAUUUUGGGGUUUUUAGGGGGAUUUUGGGGUUUUUAGGGGAAUUUUGGGGGUUUUAUGAGGAUUUUGGGUUUUUUUAGGGGAAUUUUGGGGUUUUUAGGGGGAUUUUGGUUUUUUUGGUGGGGAUUUUGGUGUUUUUAAGGGGAUUUUGGGGUUUUUAGGGGGAUAUAUUUUUGGGGGGGGGGGGUUUAGGGGGUGUUUGGUGGGACUUUGGGAUUUUACUGGGAUUUGGGGACACCCAAGUUCACUUUUGGGACAUUUUGGGGUCGUCUCACCCUUUUUCCCCCCUCAGGCUCGUCUGGAAUUCCUGCGGGAGCAGCUCCAGGUCCGCGAGGGAGAAUUCCUGACCUUCGACGCGAUGCGGCACGCGGCGCAGUGCGUGGGGAGAGCCCUGAGGGGAAAAUCCGAUUACGGCCUCAUGGUGUUCGCUGACAAGGUGGGAACCCAAAUUUGGGCCACUUUGGGGCACUUUGGGUCACUUUGGGUCACUUUGGGUCACUUUGGGGCGGCGCAGUGCGUGGGGAGAGCCCUGAGGGGAAAAUCCGAUUACGGCCUCGUGGUGUUCGCUGACAAGGUGGGAACCCAAAUUUGGGGCACUUUGGGUCACUUUGGGUCACUUUGGGUCACUUUGGGUCGUUUUGGGGCACUUUGGGUCAGUUUUGGGUCACUUUGGGUCACUUUGGGUCAGUU
rnacentral:lncRNA from 1 species